CCUACGUGAGGCAGCAGUGGGGAAUAUUGGACAAUGGGGGGAACCCUGAUCCAGCGACGCCGCGUGAGUGAAGAAGUAUUUCGGUAUGUAAAGCUCUAUCAGCAGGGAAGAAAGAAAUGACGGUACAUGACUAAGAAGCCCCGGCUAACUACGUGCCAGCAGCCGCGGUAAUACGUAGGGGGCAAGCGUUAUCCGGAUUUACUGGGUGUAAAGGGAGCGUAGACGGCGAUGCAAGUCUGAAGUGAAAGGCGGGGGCCCAACCCCUGGACUGCUUUGGAAACUGUAUGGCUGGAGUGCAGGAGAGGUAAGUGGAAUGCCUAGUGUAGCGGUGAAAUGCGUAGAUAUUAGGAGGAACACCAGUGGCGAAGGCGGCUUACUGGACUGUAACUGACGUUGAGGCUCGAAAGCGUGGGGAGCAAACAGGAUUAGAUACCCUGGUAGUC
rnacentral:rRNA from 1 species